UCCAAGAUGCCAAAGUGAUGGUAGCUAGCACCUUCAGAGUGUUUGCCCUCACGGACGAGGUGCUAAGCAAUUGACACACUCCUCCACUUGCCUCACAACCACCUUUGAGGUAGGCAGCAUUCAUAUACCCAUUUUACGGAUAAGAAAACCGAACCUGGGAGAGUGUGCCCGGGACCGUGAUAAGAGGCAAAGCAAGGUCUGGAUUCAUGCCUGCUAACUCUUACCCUGUACUCUUAACCACUGAUGGAAAGCCCAUAGCUACCAUCACAAUCCCAUGAAAUUAGCAUUAUUAUGACCAUUUUAUGAAGCAGGCUUACAGAGGGUUGUGUGGCUUGCUGAGGCCAUGCGGAUGAUGAACGGAGAGGCUGGGAUUUACCUCUCUGUUCCGAAAGUCCGUGCCCUCUCUGUCGCACUCAGCUGUUUGUUGUACACUGUGGAGCUCAUCAGGCCACCUGGGCCCUGCCUUUUAUCAGCUAAGGAGCUCCGAGCCACAUGUUCUUGCCCCUGGAGCCUGGCAGCAAUUGGAUACGCGGAGUAGAGGCUCUCAUCCUCCAAUGUCCAGACUGCACCUUGGCCAUUUUCACCAAGGCCCUAGUCACUCGGGAGUGAGCACAUCUGAGAAAAAGAUGGGGUCUGAGGGCCCAGGGGGCCCCUCUGGCCUGUUAUUUGGGGAGAAGAAAAAACAGAACUCUCAUAGAUUUACAAGGCUGGCAACAUGGCUGAGGGGAUAACCUAAAAGCUGUAGACUAUUAUUACCUAAAAAUGUUCGAUAUUUUGCAUGAUAUCUAUGAUCCCAGGCAAGUAAAAAUUACAACUGAUACAAGGUUAGGAAGUAGUGAUAUACAAGGGAGGCUGUCACUCCUGGCGGAACCUAGGGUGCUUGGGUUUUAGUGCUCUGACAGGAAGUGCCCACACUUGGACAGGAAGUGUCUACAAUGGGGCCUGCACAGAAAACAGAGUCAUAUACCCACUUUAUGGAUGAGAAAACUGAACCUGGGAGAGUGUGCCCGGGACCAUGUGGCCCGAGGCCCCCAGCAGAGCCCGGAUCCUCAAAGAGCUACAACACAUGCAAAGGACAGAUCAGAAAAUCAGUCCACCUGCCUGGGGCAAAGCCAAGGAAACAUAUCCAUCUUGGCCUGACUCCCAAGUAGAAACCUAAAAGAUUCUUGAGAAUUAGUAACCGCAAGCCCACUCUCACAAUGUUUGGGAUUUAAAUUUUAUACUACUUACAUGAUCCAGAAAGCUUCAAGCUGAGAAAGUCAAUUAAAAGAUUAAUCCUCAGACAGUGAUCACCACAUAGAAGCAAAUGAAAAACCAUUCUGACGGGACCUACCCCACAGCUGAGGCUUAACAGGAUUCCCUACAGAAAGCAUUGCUGAAUCUGAUUUCACAAUCUGAUCCAAAGCUAAAAGACACAGCAGCAAACAAUCCAGCACAAGCAAGAGAAGUAACAAAUGGCAAGAUUACAUCCCAGGAACUUCAGACACAAAAAGGACCUGGUAGAAGUUAGAAAAUAAGUUUAUUUAAAAGAGUGAAAGCAAGGGGCACCUGGGUGGUUCAGUUGGUUAAGUGUCUGACUUUGGCUGAGGUCAUGAUCUCACAGUCCAUGAGCUUGAGCCCCACAUUGGGCUCUGCGUUGACAGUUCGGAGCCUAGAGCCUGCUUUGGAUUCUGUGUCUCCCUGUCUCUCCACUCUCCCCCACUCACGUUCUGCACUCUCUCUCUUUCUCUCUCAAAAAUAAAUAAACAUUUAAAAAAACAUUUUUUUAAAAAGAGUGAAAGCAAUUAAAAGAGGAACCAAAAGCCUAAGAACAGAAUAAGUUGCGAAGAAAAAAGAACAGGCAGAUUUUAAAUAGGAAGCUUAAAAUCUGGAAAUGAAAAAUAAAGUCAAUAAAUUUUAAAACUUGAUGGAUUGGUUCACCAGAACAAUAGAUAACAGACACACUGGAAACAAAUGUAAGGAAGUUAUAGAGAAUGAAGCACAGAGAUAUAAAAGGCUGGAAUAUCAGACUGAAACAUGAAGAAAGAAAAUGAGAAUAUCUCUUAGAAUAGAACAGAGAAGGGGGAGAGGAGCCAAGAUAGCGGAACAGCAUGGAAGUUUUUUGUGUGCCUCGCGUCCCUGAGACACAGCCAGACCAACACUAACCCAUCCUGCACACCUAGAAAACUGAUCUGAGGAUUAACACAACAGUUUGCACAACCUGAACCACAGAAUUCAGCAGGUACCCGGCGCGGAGAGGUGAACUGGGGGAGACAGAAGCCAUAGAGGGCAGGGAGCUGCUUUUGCAUGCGGAGAGAGGACAGAGGCCGCAGUCUCUGGGUGCAGUCUCUGGGUGUCAGCAGCAGCACAGUCCCGCAAAUGUUCCCGGGUGCGGCCGGCACCUGGCCAUUGCUCAGUGAGACCCUCUGCAGAACGGGCCAAAGCCGCAGUCCCUCAGAAGUAAGGAGUCGGGAAACACAGCCGCGUCUGAGACAAAACUCGGGAGGGAGGUGCUGCCUGGGGCUUGGUCAUGAACCGUGUAAAAGCGGGAAGUAGAUGGAAUCCAAAGACAAAGGACGGGUGCGCGAUUGCUGAUCGGGGAGAACAGAAUUCAGAUACUACAGACCGGGGGCUGGGUGACGCCAUUUAACCGCUCCCGCGCAUGCGCAUACGCACCUACGAGCGCCACAACGAUCUGCCCCAGUAAGCUAAGCAGCGCCAUCUAGUGGAGAGCGGAGCCAUUACGCUAAGCCCUGCCCAAGUGGGCCAACCUCGAGCUUCAGGAACACAAAUCUCUCCGCCAGCUUAGUUUAUGGACUAUAAAGGGCUUAAUAGUUUGACUUCUAAGGGAAAAUGAAGUAAUUUCAGUCGUAUUUUUGUUCCACUGGCUGUUUGCCUGUCCAUCUAUUCAGUUUUCUUUUUUUUUUUCUUUUUCGUUUCUUUUCUUUUUCUUGAAUACAGAAAGAGAAAAAAAUUCAUCUUUAUUUUCAAUUUUUAUUAAAAAUAUUUUUCAAUUUUUUUCUACUAUAUUUUUUACUUUUUUUGGUGUGCCCCAAAGAUAAUUUUAUUAAGGCAUGGGGACAGGACCCAUGGGCAGGAAGAGCUGCCUAUAUUUUUUACUUUUGUGUAAAUUUUUUCAAAUUCUAUUUUACUUCCAUCAAUUUCAUUUUAGUCUACUUCAGUGUAUUAAUUUUUUCAAAUUUUCAAAUGAUUUCCUUUUUUUUUUCUUUCCCCUUUUUUCUCUAAUCUGUCAAGCCCCUUUCAACACCCAAACCAAAACACACCUAGGAUCUAGAUCUAGCAUCAUUUACUCGAUUUUGUGUGUGUGUUUUUAAUUUUUUUAAUUUUAAUUUUUUUACCUCAUUAAUUCCUUUUCUCCCUUCAAAAUGAUGAAAUGAAGGAAUUCACCCCAAAAGAAAGAGCAGGAAGAAACAAUAGCCAGGGAAUUAACCAACACAGAUACAAGCAAGAUGUCUGAACCAGAAUUUAGAAUCAGGAUAAUAAGAAUACUAGCGGGAGUCGAAAAUAGAUUAGAAUCCCUUUCUGCUGAGAUAAAAGAAGUAAAAGCUAGUCAGGAUGAAACAAAAAAUGUUAUAACUGAGCUGCAGUUGUGAAUGGAGGCCACGGCAGCAAGAAUGGAUGAGGCAGAACAGAGAAUCAGCAAUAUAGAGGACAAACUUAUGGAGAAUAAUGAAGCAGAAAAAAGGAGGGAGAUUAAGGCAAAAGAGCACGAUUUAAGAAUUAGAGAAAUCAGUGACUCAUUAAAAAGGAACAUCAUCAAAAUCAUAGAGGUCCCAGAAGAGGAAGAGAGAGAAAUAGAGGUAGAAGGAUUAUGUGAGCAAAUCAUAGAGAAAAACUUUCCUAACCUGGGGAAAGACACAAACAUUAAAAUUCAGGAAGCACAUAGGACUCCCAUUAGAUUCAACAAAAACCAACCAUCAACAAGACAUAUCAUAGUCAAAUUCACAAACUAUUCAGGCAAGGAGAGAAUCAUGAAAGCAGCAAGGGAAAAAAAAGUCCUUAACCUACAAGGGAAGACAGAUCAGGUUUGCAGCAGACCUAUCCACAGAAACUUGGCAGGCCAGAAAGGAGUAGCAGGAUAUAUUCCAUGUGCUGAAUCAGAAAAAUAUGCAGCCAAGAAUUCUUUAUCCAGCAAGGCCGUCAUUCAAAAUAGAAGAAGAGGUAAAAUGUUUCCCAGACAAACAAAAAUUAAAGGAGUUUGUGAUCACUAAACCAGCCCUGCAAGAAAUUUAAAAAAUUUUUUUAACAUUUAUUCAUUUUUGAAAGGCAGAGAGAGACAGAGUGUGAAUGGGGGAGGGGCAGAGAGAGAGGGAGACACAGAUUUCUAAGCAGGCUCCAGGCUCCAAGCUGUCAGCACGGAGCCCAAUGUGGGGGCUUCAACUCAUGGACUGCAAGAUCAUGACCUGAGUCAAAGUCAGCCGCCUAACUGGCUGAGCCACCCAGGUGCCACCCAGGUGCCCCCAUCUACAAGCAAUUUUAAGGGGAACUCUCUGAGGGGAGAAAAGAUGAAAAAAAAUAAUAAUAAUAAAGACCAAAAGCAACAAAGACUAGAAAGGACCAGCGAACACCACCAGAAACUCCAACUCUACAAGCAACAUAAUGGCAAUAAAUUCAUUCAUAUCUUUCAGUACUCACUCUAAACAUCAAUGAGUCCAUGCUCCAAUCAAAAGACCUAGGGUAACAGAAUGGAUAAGAAAACAAGAUCUAUCUAUAUGCUGUUUGUAAGAGACUCACUUUAGACCUAAUGACACCUUCAGAUUGAAAGUAAGGGGAUGGAGAACCAUCUAUCAUGCUAACGGUCAACAAAAGAAACCAGAGUAGCCAUACUUACAUCGGGCAAUCUAGACUUUAAAAUAAGGACUGUAUCAAGAGAUGAAGAAGGGCAUUAUAUAAUUAUGAUAAUUAACUAUAAUUCAUAUUAUUGUUAAUUAUCAUAAUUAAGAAUUAUGAUAAUUAUAUCAUAAUUAAAGGGUCUAUCCACCAAGAAGACCUAACAAUUGUUAACAUUUAUGCGCCAAAUGUGGAAACACCCAAAUAUAUAAAUCAAUUAAUCACAAACAUAAAGAAACUCAUUGGUAGUAAUACCAUAAUAGUAGGGGACUUCAAUACCCCACUCACAGCAGUAGACAGAUCAUCUAAUCAAAAAAAAUCAACAAAGAAACAAUGGCUUUGAAUGACACACUGGACCAGAUGGAUUUAACAGAUAUAUUCAGAACAUUUCAUCCUAAAGCAGCAGAAUAUACAUUCUUCUCCAGUGCACAUGGAGCAUUCUCCAGAACAGACCACAUACUGGGUCUCAACAGCCCUCAACAAGUACAGAAAGACUGAGAUCAUACCAUGCAUAUUUUCAGACCACAAUGCUAUGAAACUCGAAAUCAACCACAAGAAAAAAUUUGGAAAGGUAAGAAACACUUGGAGACUAAAGAACAUCCUACUAAACAAUGAAUGAGCUAACUGAGAAGUUAAAGAGGAAAUUAAAAAGUUCAUGAAACCAAUGAAAAUGAUAACACCACAAACCAAAACCUCUGGGAUGCAGCAAAGGCAGUCAUAAGAGGAAAGUUUAUAGCAAUCCAGGCCUUCCUAAAGAAGGAAGAAAGAUCUCAGAUAUACAACCUAACCUUACACCUUAAAGAGCUGGAAAAAGAACAGCAAAUAAAACCCCAAAACAGCAGAAGGCAAGAAAUAAUAAAGAUGAGAGCAGAAAUUAAUGCUAUCGAAACCAAAAAAACAGUAGAACAGAUCAAUGAAACCAGAAGCUGGUUCUUUGAAAGAAUUAACAAAAUUGAUAAACCAUUAGCCAAUUUGAUCAAAAAGAAAAAAGAAAGGACCCAAAUAAAUAAAAUCAAGAAUGAGAGAGGAGAUUGGGGCGCCUGGGUGUCUCAGUUGGUUGAGCGUCCGACUUUGGCUCAGGUCAUGAUCUUGCGGUCCAUCCGUGAGUUCAAGCCCCGCAUUGGGCUCUGUGCUGACAGUUUGGAGCCUGGAGUCUGCUGCACAUUCUGUGUCUCCCUCGCUCCCUGCCCCUCCCCCACUCAUGCUCUGUCUCUCUCUCUCAAAAAUGAAUAAACAUUAAAAGAAAAAAAAGAGUGAAAGAGGAGAGAUUGCAACCAACACAGCAGAAAUAAAAAUAAUAAGAGAAUAUUAUGAGCAAUUAUAUGCCAAUAAAAUGGGCAAUAUGGAAGAAAUGGACAAACUCCUAGAAACAUAUACACUACCAAAACUGAAACAGGAAGAAAUAGAAAAUUUGAACAGACCCAUAACCAGUAAGGAAAUUGAAUUAGUAAUCAAAAAUCUCCCAAAAAAGAAGAGUCCAGGGCCAGAUGACUUUCCAGGGGAAUUCUACCAAACAUCUAAGGAAGAGUUAACACCCAUUCUCUUGAAGCUGUUCCAAAAAAUAGAAAUGGAAGGAAAACUUCCAAACUCUUUCUAUGAAGCCAGCAUUACCUUGAUUCCAAAACCAGAGACCCCGCUAAAAGGGUGAACUAUAGACCAAUUUCUCUGAUGAACAUGGAUGCAAAAAUCCUCAACAAGAUAUUCGCCAACCAGAUCCACCAAUAC